AUUCGUACAAGAACGAAUUUCUCACUUUUUCAAAAAUAACCUCCAAAGCAACUCGAUGCACGGGUAACGCAAUUAACGUGUCUCGCGUGAAUCAGCACUGGCAACCAAAGUUUGUUGGCCUUGCCGCACGAGAGCGCCACUUCCGGCGGGCUAGGAUCAUUCGCCGGGCGGGCAUUGGCAUUGGUGGUUCGCGUCGGCGACGACGUCGACGACAACGAUGACGACGAUCGCCGGGCUGACGGAGAGCGCACCAGGUGUAAUCUCGCGCGAUAAAAUGGCACAUGGUACGCUUGUUACGCCAGUUACCGUUCUUUCGUAUGUAUUAAUAGUAAUGGGAAUGAUAUAGCAUCGUUUCUAAACUGGUACGUAAUGAUCGUAAAGAACAAAAAAAAAAAAAAAGAAAAAAAGAAAUACAAGUAACCAACCGUAA